CACCACUGCCGCCUCUGCCACUGCUACCAUCCUUCAAAGCCAUCAGAAUCCAGCCUCUUGAAACACCUAGACAAUAGGAAUUGUGAGAUAUGAGGCUUCAGUGGAUGUGUGACAGUAGAAGCGUUUGAGUCAGUGAGGACUGAAGAGGACAACAGCUGGCUGUGGGGACAGGUGUGCAAGUGACACCACAGGUCUUGCCUUCUGAGACUUUUGAGUGACUGCGGCAGCCAGCGAACCCUGGAGUUCCCGAGGCAGCAUUUGCAAAAGUUAACUCUUGGCGCCCAGACAGGCACACACGUGUGGACUCUUGCCACUGAUGACCCAGGCGGGAUUCAGCUGUUUUUAUGAAAAUCAUCUUCAAC
rnacentral:lncRNA from 1 species